UUCCUACGGGAGGCAGCAGUGAGGAAUAUUGGUCAAUGGCCGGAAGGCUGAACCAGCCAAGCCGCGUGAAGGACGAAGGUGCCAAGCAUUGUAAACUUCUUUUGUCAAGGGACAAAAUCAGGCUCGAGAGCCUGACCGAGGGUACUUGAAGAAAAAGCAUCGGCUAACUCCGUGCCAGCAGCCGCGGUAAUACGGAGGAUGCGAGCGUUAUCCGGAUUUAUUGGGUUUAAAGGGUGCGUAGGCGGAAGGUUAAGUCAGCGGUCAAAUGUCGGUGCUCAACCCCGGCCUGCCGUUGAAACUGGUCU
rnacentral:rRNA from 1 species